AUUAUUCGCCUACGGAGUUUUCUCCCAGUGUUUCGGGUUGUUGAGUAUGGAUUAUAGAAGUGGACACUGCAAUGUUAUUUCAGAAUUGCUUUUUCCAAUUCAUCGACACAACAUUGGAAGGUUGUAGAGCAUCAGGGAAAAGAAUUUUAUACGACGAGAAUACUUUGAAGCAGAAUGGGUUGCCUAUGUGAAAGACAAAAAAUCCUAUGUAUAAAUUCAAAUUAUUAUACUGCUAUCGCGCGAAAUUAAAUGAGUGCACUGUAAAAGAUAGAAAUGCUACAAUUUGAGUCGAAAUUAGUAACCAACUAAGUUUUUCGAUCUUAAUAAAAUAAUAUAUUUAAAUUUAUUUGGUACAUCAGCAAAAAAAAAUAUUUCAUAACACAACACUUAAGUGAAUGUUUUUCACUUUGUUUUGUGUAUUUGUUUAAUGUUGAUAUUUUCGUUGUGUAUUGUGCAUUACAACUUUUUAUACGAUUUAUGAUAAAGAUUUUUUUAUUUAAAAAUGUGGACAAAAGAAUUUCUUAAGUAGCUUUCCGUUAUCAAGCAAAAUGAGAGUAUAAAGGCGUAAUAAAGUCAUAGUAGUAAAGAAAGUGAUUAUUAAUCAAAAAUAUUUGUUAGUUGCAAUAUGAGGAUAAAUAAAGAAAUAGCUUUAUUAAAAAUUCA